CUCUGCCACAUGCCUGACUCCUGGAGUCUGCCUGGCUGUCUCUGUGCCAUCUUACCCUCACCCCCAGGGUGUGGUAGCGGGAGGCAAGUGACAGGAAGGAGCAUGUGAGUUUUUCACCAACUGAGCAAGAGCUGGGAUGCCUCUAGGCGGUGGCAGUGAAAGCUACCUGGGACAGCAUGGAAGCCCAUGACGGAGCAGCAGGUGCUGGGGAUGUCUGCGGUACCUGGAAACCGUAAAUGCAAGCUUUGUUUCCUUCUAGCUUGAAUUUCUUGAGGAAAACCACAGGGAACAGAGGUGAGCCUCAGCAGAUACCAGCUGGGGCUGGAUGAGGAUCCCAUGAACUGAGAUCGGCGGCUGGAUGCUUAAGUGAAGCCACGGCGCACUUGAAUUCACUUUGUCACCGCGCAGCCAGGCUAGCUUCCACCACACCUGUCAACGGCAUCGCACACGGCUGACACCGUACUUCACACCAGCAGCUCCUCAGUCUUGGCACGAAAUGAGUAUGAACAGCUCCGCCGAGCAAAUAUGCAGAUGAUCGGCACUAGGAGAAUUUCCCCCUUCUUACAGUUUGACAUGUAUUAAUUCAUCACUAAUGUAAUAAGCACCAAUAUUUAUUACAUGUGCAGCAUUAUGCAGAGUGUCAAGGCAAUGAAGAUUAUGAGGAGCAAGGGGAUGCUGGA